GAAAAAUAUAUUCAUGGGGAAGAGACGUAAUAGUUUUGAUGUUACGGCAGUUACUAAAGAAGCACCUGAACAGACACAUCACCUUCACUUUGGGAUGUGGAAUGUGCUAAGUAGUUAGCCACAGAAAGUGAACACCCCUUCAGAAUGGGUUUGAAGAGCUGAUCCAGUGGACGAAAGAGGGGAAACUGGGAGUUCCCAAUUAACAAUGAAGCAG
rnacentral:sRNA from 1 species